rnacentral:rRNA from 1 species
UCCAGACUCCUACGGGAGGCAGCAGUGAGGAAUAUUGGUCAAUGGGCGGGAGCCUGAACCAGCCAAGCCGCGUGAGGGAAGAAGGUACAGCGUAUCGUAAACCUCUUUUGUCAGGGAACAAAGGCGGGGACUAGUCCCCGGAUGAGGGUACCUGAAGAAAAAGCAUCGGCUAACUCCGUGCCAGCAGCCGCGGUAAUACGGAGGAUGCGAGCGUUAUCCGGAUUUAUUGGGUUUAAAGGGUGCGCAGGCGGCACGGCAAGUCUGAUGUGAAAACCCGGGGCCCAACCCCGGGAGUGCAUUGGAAACUGCCAGGCUGGAGUGUCAGAGGGGUAAGCGGAAUUCCUAGUGUAGCGGUGAAAUGCGUAGAUAUUAGGAGGAACACCAGUGGCGAAGGCGGCUUACUGGACGACUACUGACGCUGAGGCUCGAAAGCGUGGGGAGCAAACAGGAUUAGAUACCCGCGUAC